UACGUAGGGGGCAAGCGUUAUCCGGAUUUACUGGGUGUAAAGGGAGCGUAGGCGGCGGGGCAAGCCUGAUGUGAAAGCCCGGGGCUCAACCCCGGGACUGCAUUGGGAACUGCCCUGCUGGAGUGCCGGAGGGGCAGGCGGAAUUCCUAGUGUAGCGGUGAAAUGCGUAGAUAUUAGGAGGAACACCAGUGGCGAAGGCGGCCUGCUGGACGGUGACUGACGCUGAGGCUCGAAAGCGUGGGGAGCAAACAGG
rnacentral:rRNA from 1 species